UGAGGAACAUGACCUUCGGCGGGGGGAUAGCCGGCCCAACGGCCGGGUAAUACCGCGUACGACCACAUGGGGACAUCCUCGAGUGGUGAAAGCAGCAAUGCGCCGAUGGAGUGCCUCGCGGCCUAUCAGCUAGUUGGUGAGGUAACGGCUCACCAAGGCGACGACGGGUAGCUGGUCUGAGAGGAUGGCCAGCCACAUUGGGACUGAGACACGGCCCAGACCUCGUAACGGGGAGG
rnacentral:rRNA from 1 species